rnacentral:rRNA from 1 species
AGCGAACGCUGGCGGCAGGCCUAACACAUGCAAGUCGAGCGGCCGUAGCAAUACGGCAGCGGCAGACGGGAGAGUAACACGUGGGAACGCGCCCUUCGGUUCGGGAUAACUCAGGGAAACUUGGGCUAAUACCGGAUACGCCCUUACGGGGAAAGAUUUAUUGCCGAAGGAACGGCCCGCGUCCGAUUAGCUUGUUGGUGAGGUAACGGCUCACCAAGGCGAUGAUCGGUAGCUGGUCUGAGAGGAUGACCAGCCUCACUGGGACUGAGACACGGCCCAGACUCCUACGGGAGGCAGCAGUGGGGAAUAUUGGACAAUGGGCGCAAGCCUGAUCCAGCCAUGCCGCGUGGGUGAUGAAGGCCCUAGGGUUGUAAAGCCCUUUCAGCGGGGAAGAUAAUGACGGUACCCGCAGAAGAAGCCCCGGCUAACUUCGUGCCAGCAGCCGCCGUAA